rfam:Laccaria amethystina LaAM-08-1 unplaced genomic scaffold K443scaffold_231, whole genome shotgun sequence.
GCCUGGAUGGUCUAGUGGUAUGAUUCCUGCUUUGGGUGCAGGAGGUCUCCAGUUCAAUCCUGGAUUCAGGCC